CGUCAACCACCUGUCACUUCCGGUAACCCACCUCCCCUCCUUGCCUUUUCUAAGGUUUCAGUUUCAGGGACCCAUUUGUAAACACACACUCACAAAAUUUAUUUAUACAUAUUCUAUGGGAAGCUCUGUUUGUGCGAAGCAUCGUUAUUUCCGUUAUUAGGAAUUUCAACUCCUCGGGAAAAGUUCCCCCAAACACUUCAAAAAAUUUCCCUUUUAGGGUUUCAAUGGAUUUAUUUCAUACUAAAUCGGGUCUGUCCCUGGGUUUUACUAAAUCCUCCAUUGCGGAUGAUCCGAUUUCGCUUCAAAUGGACACCACCUUUCGCUUCUCCGUCUCACCCGUUCCGUUACAGUUGUUCGAGGAAAAAGACGACGGUCACCGUGAAAAUCGCAUCGAAAGUGAUGAAGAAAUUAGGAUUUGGGGGCAGUCUAUGUGUGUGAAAAGACAAAGGGAUCCUAAACCUCUUCCAAAUCCUUGUAAACGGUUUGCUCCCGACCCUGGUCUGGACCAAAGACGAGCCGCGGUCAGGUCGUGGGGAAACCAACGGCUACAAGAGGCCGAUCCUGAAUUGAGUGAGAUCAUGAGCAAGGAAAAGCAGAGGCAAUUCUUAGGAAUUGAGCUUAUUGCUUCUGAAAACUUUGUGUGCCGAGCUGUGAUGGAAGCAUUGGGAAGCCAUUUAACAAACAAAUACUCCGAAGGAAUGCCUGGAGCGAGGUACUACACGGGCAAUCAUUUUAUUGAUCAAAUCGAAAGCCUAUGUCAAGAUCGUGCACUGGCAGCUUUUAAUCUUGAUUCCGACAAAUGGGGAGUCAAUGUGCAGCCUUAUUCGUGUACUUCUGCAAAUUUCGCCGUUUAUACGGCACUUUUGUUGCCUGGUGAUCGGAUGAUGGGAUUGGAUUCGCCAUCUGGAGGGCAUAUGAGCCAUGGAUGGUAUAUGCCGAGUGGGAAGAAAGUGUCUGCUGCGUCGAUAUUCUUUGAGAGUUUUCCUUACAAGGUGAAUCCUCAAACAGGGUUUAUUGAUUAUAAUAAGCUUGAGGAAAAGGCGCUUGAUUAUCGGCCCAAGAUUCUAAUUUGUGGUGGGAGUUCUUAUCCCAGAGAGUGGGAUUAUGCAAGGUUUAGGCAAAUUGCAGAUAGAUGUGGAGCUGUUUUGAUGUGUGAUAUGGCUCAUAUUAGUGGUCUUGUGGCAGCCAAGGAAUGUGCCAGUCCAUUUGAUUACUGUGAUAUUGUCACUUCAACAACACACAAAAGUCUACGGGGCCCAAGGGGAGGUAUAAUCUUUUAUAGGAGGGGCGCAAAAUCAAGAAAGCAAGGCAUGUGUCUCAGUAAUGGUGAUUGUACUGACCAGCUUGAUUUUGAGGAAAAGAUAAAUUUUGCUGUCCAUGCAUCAUUACAAGGAGGACCUCAUAACAAUCACAUUGCCGCUCUUGCCAUAGCAUUGAAGCAAGUGACUACACCAGAGUACAAAGCCUAUAUGCAACAGGUGAAGAAAAAUGCUCAGGCUUUGGCAUCUGCUCUACUGAAAAGAAAAUGCAAGUUGGUUACCGGAGGCACUGACAACCAUUUGUUGCUGUGGGAUCUCACUACACUAGGCUUAACAGGCAAAUGCUAUGAGGAAGUUUGUGAGAUGUGCCACAUCACUCUGAAUAAAACUACUAUAUUUGGUGACAAUGGUGCUAUUUCUCCCGGAGGAGUGAGAAUUGGUACGCCUGCUAUGACAUCAAGAGGUUGUUUAGAGUCUGAUUUUGAGACAAUCGCAGACUUUCUCUGUACAGCAGCUGAAAUUACGAGUUGUGUGCAGAGGGAUCAUGGAAAAUUGCAGAAAGAGUUUCUCAAGGGUCUUCACAAUAAUAAAGAUGUUAUUGAUCUCCGGAUUCGUGUAGAGGCAUUUGCUGCCCAGUUUGCAAUGCCUGGAUAUGAUUCUUGAAGAUUUAUAAGAUGGCCUGCCUGCUACCUGGCAUACCCUCAAUUUUUAUCUGGUUUCUAUUCAGGAACACACCCUUGAAGGGAGGCAAGGCAUGAGACAAAAAGCAUGAGAUACGAGAAAGUGAUUUAUUUUUAUUACUUUAGUUUUAAAAAGAAGAACACAAUAAUAAAACUAAAAUUGAGACUUCAUUAGCAGUCUCGAAAUCAUUAAUGGGUAAAUUAGAAGUAAAAUUUUCUGAUCUUCACAUGAUGGUAUAGUUUGACCCUAAACCGAGUAGCUUCCCCAAAAACAGAAAGAGACAAGGAGAAGGGGACAGACAUGUCAGGAAAAGAAGUGGGAUUCUAUUUAUAUGUGCGUUUCAUUUUUCCUUUAAUGAAACAGAAGCAUUUUCAUGAUUAAAAAGAAGUGGCCAUUGGACUUUUGCUUUUUGAAACCCCGAAUCGGACAUCAUAAAGCUUUCUAAUGAUCAAAUAAGGCCAGCUCUGGUGGGGAAUCUCAUUGUCCUCUUCAUUACCCCUAGUCUAUUUGUUGUUUACUUUAGGCUCUUUUACCUAAAUAUUAUAAAUUAAACAAAUAAAUUAUUUGCUCAAACAA